AUUGAACGCUGGCGGCAGGCCUAACACAUGCAAGUCGAGCGAGCGGCGGACGGGGGAGUAAUGUCUGGGAAACUGCCUGCUGGGGGGGGAUAACUAUUCGAAACGGUAUCUCAAAUAGCACAUGACCAGAUGUGCGCAGAUGGGAUUAGCUAGGAGGUGGGGUAACGGCUCACCUAGGCGACGAUCCCUAGCUGGUCUGAGAGGAUGACCAGCCACACUGGAACUGAGACACGGUCCAGACUCCUACGGGAGGCAGCAGUGGGGAAUAUUGCACAAUGGGCGCAAGCCUGAUGCAGCCAUGCCGCGUGUAUGAAGAAGGCCUUCGGGUUGUAAAGUACUUUCAGCGAGGAGGCGUUACCCGCAGAAGAAGCACCGGCUAACUCCGUGCCAGCAGCCGCGGUAAUUC
rnacentral:rRNA from 1 species